CAACAAUUGUUUUAUAAUGUUGUGGUGAAGUAUCUUCUAUAAAUUCAAGUGCUUUAGUGGAAUAUUCUUGCACUACAAUCCAUGACUGUUGUCCAUAGGCAACUAAUCCAGUUCUUUUUAAAAACUUAUUUACUAAAAAGAUAUAUUAUAAAUAUAAAAAUUAAUAUACUUAAAUAAUAUUUCAAACAGACUGAAUAUUUCUUUUUUUGUAUAUAAAUAUGUACGUAUAUUGUAUGUAUGUACAUAUAUAUAUAUAUUUACCUUUAAAAUCAUCAUGUUUGUAUAUAUCAUAAGCAAGGAUGGCACUAAUAAGAAGUAAUAACAAAAUAAUUCCCUUUUUCCAGGAAUAUUUCUUAUUAGCAGAAGCUGUCAUUUUUAGUAAUAAAGCCUUUGAUGAAGAAAUGAAAAUAUUUUCUAAAUUAUUUAUUCUAAAAUAUUGUCUGUACUAUGUAUCUUUGUACAAAAAAGGAAUGACGCGGCGAAUGAUGUUAAUGUCGCCAGUAGCGAUACUGAAGGGACAAUAUGCGAUCGAUAGUCCCCUUCCGAAAAAACAAACGUACCUAACCUACACUAUAUUUAAAAUUCAGAUUUCUCAAAAUCAUUCAAAUAUUACACUCACGAUUUUUCAAAAUAAAAACAAGCUCAAAUGCAAAUUUUGCAGGUUAUUACUGGAAAAUUAUACAGGUAUUUAAACGUCUUUCCUCGUUCGCAAACAGGCAAUUAGCCUACACGCGAUUUAUACGUUACGUAGUAUUCUGCUGACACUCAUGCUUUGCGCAUAUACGUGUGUAUACGUAUGUAUAAGGCAUGAAUACAAUAAUCAAAUGUUACGUGGAUUAUUUCCGUAUUUCAAGACAUUUGUCACACACAAUGCGUAUAAAACAUUCUAAUUUCG
rnacentral:misc_RNA from 1 species